rnacentral:rRNA from 1 species
CGAGCGGCGAACGGGUGAGUAACGCGUGGAUGACCUACCUUGAGGUGGGGGAUAACUCGGGGAAACUCGAGCUAAUACCGCAUAGGAUCGAGAGAUCAAAGGGGCGCAAGUCCCGCCAUGAGAGGGGUCCGCGUACGAUUAGCUAGUUGGUAGGGUAAUGGCCUACCAAGGCGACGAUCGUUAGCCGGCCUGAGAGGGUGAUCGGCCACACUGGAACUGAGACACGGUCCAG